rnacentral:tRNA from 1 species
GCUCCGGUAGUGUAAUGGUAGCACACCCGUCCGUCGAUAUACUAGAUAAUAAAUCCUGACUGGGUAGCUUGAGGUUCGAUUCCUCUCCGGAGCG